UAAUCAAGGAAUCAUGGAAGCAACAAAGGGUCGGAACCCUAGCAAGAAACUAAAGCAGGGAACUCAAAUUGACAAGGAAACCAAACAAACUCGUAACACAAACAAGCACAAAAAAACACAUAAUACUCAUGAAAAGCAGAAGAUAUACGAUUUCGAAAAGGGGUGAGAAACACAAGUUUUGAAAAAAAGGUACAGAACGUUCGAAAAAAUUUGAAUUAAUCAAAUAUAUCGAUUGAGAUGGAGUAUAGAAAACAAAGAUUAAACCGAAAAUCUCUUAGAAAGACAGAAGUGUAAGAGAUUAGGUAAAGAAAAUUAGGGUUUGCAAAAUAAGUUAGGGAAAUGAGAAACUUGGCCAUGAAACUCGUAUAUAAUGCCAUAGAAGGCAUCAUCGGACAAAAACCACUGGAGAAAAGGCUAGAAACAGACCCAAAUACAGCUUUAGUGACCUCUUUCAUGGAGGAAGCUGCUGGCUUCAAACUUUAGAGAGAAAAUAGCGAUACAUGGACUCCAUGGUUGUUGGAGAUCGAGAGAGGUGAGGGAGGAGUUAGCCGGAGAGGCGAUGGUCGUCAUCGGAGAAGACGCAGAGAACCAGAAGGUUCUUGAGAGAUGAAAGGUUAGAGAGCAUAGGUUAGAGAGAUAGAGA
rnacentral:lncRNA from 1 species